rnacentral:rRNA from 1 species
AUUGAACGCUGGCGGCAGGCCUAACACAUGCAAGUCGAACGAGUGGCGGACGGGUGAGUAAUGUCUAGGAAACUGCCUGAUGGAGGGGGAUAACUUCUGGAAACGGUAGCUAAUACCGCAUACCAUCGGAUGUGCCCAGAUGGGAUUAGCUUGUAGGUGAGGUAACGGCUCACCUAGGCGACGAUCCGUAGCUGGUCUGAGAGGAUGACCAGCCAAACUGGAACGGAGACACGGUCCAGACUCCUACGGGAGGCAGCAGUGGGGAAUAUUGGACAAUGGGCGAAAGCCUGAUGCAGCCAGGCCGCGUGUAUGAAGAAGGCCUUCGGGUUGUAAAGUACUUUCAGCGGGGAGGCGUUACCCGCAGAAGAAGCACCGGCUAACUCCGUGCCAGCAGCCGCGGUAAUAC